GGCCGGAUAGAGCAACGGCCUUCUAAGCCGUCGGUCGGGAGUUCGAAUCUCUCCUGGG
rnacentral:tRNA from 3 species